rnacentral:rRNA from 1 species
UUCUGGUUGAUCCUGCCGGACCUGACUGCUAUCGGAUUGAUACUAAGCCAUGCGAGUCUUUGUAGUAAUACAAGGCAGACGGCUCAGUAACACGUAGUCAACCUACCCUAUGGACGAGAAUAAUCUCGGGAAACUGAGCAUAAUUCUUGAUAGAUCAUAAUGCCUGGAAUGGUUUAUGGUUAAAAUGAUUCGUCGCCAUAGGAUGGGACUGCGGCCUAUCAGCUUGUUGGUGAGGUAAUGGCCCACCAAGGCGAUUACAGGUACGGGCUCUGAGAGGAGUAGCCCGGAGAUGGGUACUGAGACACGGACCCAGGCCCUAUGGGGCGCAGCAGGCGAGAAAACUUUGCAAUGUGCGAAAGCACGACAAGGUUAAUCCGAGUGAUUUCUGCUAAAGAAAUCUUUUGCCAGUCGUAAAACCGCUGGUGAAUAAGGGGUGGGCAAGUUCUGGUGCCAGCAGCCGCGGUAAU